UGCAGAAUCCCGUGAACCAUCGAGUCUUUGAACGCAAGUUGCGCCCGAUGCCAUUAGGUUGAGGGCACGUCUGCCUGGGUGUCACAUAUCGAAGCCUCCUGCCAAUUUCCCUUUGAUUAUUGUGCAGGGUGGACGUUGGCCUCCCGUGAACUCUUUUUGGUCAUGGUUGGUUGAAAAUUGAGACCUUGGUAGGGUGUGCCAUGAUAGAUGGUGGUUGUGUGAUCCACGAGACCAAUCAUGUGCUGCUCUAUUAAAUAUGGCCUCUUUUACCCAUAUGCGUUUCUAAANGCUCGUGAUGAGACCUCAGGUCAGGCGGGGCUACCCGCUGAAUUUAAGCAUAUCAAUAAGCGGAGGAAAAGAAACUAACAAGGAUUCCCUUAGUAACGGCGAGCGAACCGGGAUAAGCCCACCAUGAGAAUCGGUCGCCCUCGGCGUUCGA
rnacentral:rRNA from 1 species